rnacentral:rRNA from 1 species
CAGCAGUGGGGAAUAUUGCACAAUGGGGGAAACCCUGAUGCAGCGACGCCGCGUGGAGGAAGAAGGUCUUCGGAUUGUAAACUCCUGUUGUUGAGGAAGAUAAUGACGGUACUCAACAAGGAAGUGACGGCUAACUACGUGCCAGCAGCCGCGGUAAAACGUAGGUCACAAGCGUUGUCCGGAAUUACUGGGUGUAAAGGGAGCGCAGGCGGGAGAACAAGUUGGAAGUGAAAUCCAUGGGCUCAACCCAUGAACUGCUUUCAAAACUGUUUUUCUUGAGUAGUGCAGAGGUAGGCGGAAUUCCCGGUGUAGCGGUGGAAUGCGUAGAUAUCGGGAGGAACACCAGUGGCGAAGGCGGCCUACUGGGCACCAACUGACGCUGAGGCUCGAAAGUGUGGGUAGCAAACAGGAUUAGAUACCCUGGUAGUCCACACCGUAAACGAUGAUUACUAGGUGUUGGAGGAUUGACCCCUUCAGUGCCGCAGUUAACACAAUAAGUAAUCCACCUGGGGAGUACGACCGCAAGGUUGAAACUCAAAGGAAUUGACGGGGGCCCGCACAAGCAGUGGAGUAUGUGGUUUAAUUCGACGCAACGCGAAGAACCUUACCAAGUCUUGACAUCCCUUGACGAACAUAGAAAUAUGUUUUCUCUUCGGAGCAAGGAGACAGGUGGUGCAUGGUUGUCGUCAGCUCGUGUCGUGAGAUGUUGGGUUAAGUCCCGCAACGAGCGCAACCCU